AGGGCAGCCUGGGCAACUGGAGCCACAGAGGAACAGCAAGAGGAGGGCUGUGCUUUCACAUUGGACCCUUAUAGAGGGCCUUGGCAGGCUCCCCUUCUCUCCCCAGCCAUUUUCUGGGCUUGAAUUCAGCAUUCAGUCGCUCUCCUCAUUAGAAAGAGUGGCUCUGUGGGUCUGCAGGAUCACUCAAUACAGGCCUUUGCCAUUGCUGGGAGAAGAACAUGCCCUCCAGAUCGAGAAACCUGGGGAACAAAGCCAGAUACAGCAGGCCGUAAGCUCACUCCACUCUAAGAUCCAGACGCGUGUCUAUGGAAAUAGACUAAGAUGAGUUGGACUUAAGCCAUCAGGUAGUAAUGAGAAAUUUCCUUUCAUUGAUUAAACUAUCCA
rnacentral:lncRNA from 1 species